CCUGUGAUUUUCGAUUAGCAUCACGACAAGGGAGUCCUCAUGCCACCAAGUGUUAGCUACUUGGGUGCUUCAAGAUCUGGUGAUCCUAGUGGCCACACGCUUGGACUCAAUCUUUUUCUGUGGUCUGGCCAGGACCAUGGGGGAGAUAAUCCCAGCAACAAGAGCAUCGCAGUAUCUCCCUGCCUGUGACUUU